rnacentral:rRNA from 1 species
AGUGAACGCUGGCGGUAGGCCUAACACAUGCAAGUCGAACGGCAGCACAGUAAGAGCUUGCUCUUACGGGUGGCGAGUGGCGGACGGGUGAGGAAUACAUCGGAAUCUACUUUUUCGUUGGGGAUAACGGAGGGAAACUUACGCUAAUACCGCAUACGACCUACGGGUGAAAGCAGGGGAUCUUCGGACCUUGCGCGAUUGAAUGAGCCGAUGUCGGAUUAGCUAGUUGGCGGGGUAAAGGCCCACCAAGGCGACGAUCCGUAGCUGGUCUGAGAGGAUGAUCAGCCACACUGGAACUGAGACACGGUCCAGACCCCUACGGGAGGCAGCAGUGGGGAAUAUUGGACAAUGGGCGCAAGCCUGAUCCAGCCAUACCGCGUGGGUGAAGAAGGCCUUCGGGUUGUAAAGCCCUUUUGUUGGGAAAGAAAAGCAGCAGGUUAAUACCCCGCUGUUCUGACGGUACCCAAAGAAUAAGCACCGGCUAACUUCGU